rfam:Dipodomys ordii contig_18588, whole genome shotgun sequence.
UGGGAUGUAGCUCAGUGGCAAAGCGCUUGCCUCGCAAGUGCAACAUCCUGGGUUCAAUCCCCAGUACCAA